rfam:TPA: Bos taurus chromosome X, whole genome shotgun sequence.
CCCUGGUGGCUCUGAUGGUAAAGUGUCCGUCUACAAUGUGGGAGACCCGGGUUCAAUCCCUGGAUCAGGGA